GACGUAGGUGGCGAACGUUAUCCGGAAUUAUUGGGCGUAAAGGGUGCGUAGAUGGUGUAGUAAGUUAUCGGUGGCAAAUCGAGGCUCAACCUCGUGGAAGUCGGUAAUACUGCUAUGCUAGAGGAUAGGAGAGGUUAACGGAACUCCCUGUGGAGCGGUGAAAUGCGUAGAUAUAGGGAAGAACACCAAUCAGGCGAAGGCAGUUAACUAGUCUAUUCCUGACAUUGAGGCAUGAAAGCGUGGGGAGCAAAACGG
rnacentral:rRNA from 1 species